CGAAAGUGAGUUCGUAUCUCUCAAGCAGAACGAGAACUCUUUCUCUACGUUCGGCGACGUCGUUCGCCGACCCUUCCUCGAGUCUGUCGGAGCUCCUCUCUUACCCCUUCGGAGGUAGACAUUAAUCUUUUUAAAACCACCAAAAAAAUGGGUCGCAUUCGCCUUCCUUCUUUCUUUAUUCGAGGUUUCGUUUUGCGCGUUUAUCUCUUCGGAAGUGCUCGCUCGAACUCGUCCUCUUUUUCAUUCCCUCUCUAUUUCUGGAAAUUCCACGAGCCCGUCGCCCGUUCCAUUUCGGUUCGGGAAAGAUGCCUGGAACGAAAGGAAAUACUUAAAGAGAAGGGUAGUGGAGAAGCGAGUUAGAACGUGCACGCUUUCCGCUUGAGGUUUCGCGUAACUACUUGCCUCGGGUUGUAAAUGGAGGUUGGAAGGGUAUACGUAUGUAAAUACAUAUGUAUAUUUGUGUAUCCGGUGGAGGAAAGUUGAAAAAUUGUCGAUCGAAGACUGGGAUAAAAUAAGGAGGUACUACGAAAAAAAAAAGACUCGGGGGCGUUUACGAACGACGUCGGUGGCUAGGAUCGAGUCAGUGUUCUAGCGAUACCGAGAAAUGAUACUUGUUUGGUCUGAUCCGAUCGCCCUAGUAGUAGUCUGGGGCGUCUCCGGGGUGGUAUUGGCGAGGUUGCCUUUGAAAAGAAUUUUCAUCGGAUCUUCCUCCGUCUCUCACUACCCCCGUCGAUAAUAAUUGCGGAGGCGUCCUCGUGUCUACGAACCAGGCU
rnacentral:rRNA from 1 species